CUAUAGGAACUAGGGUUAAUAUGGGUUGGCUAUGGGAACCAGAGUUAAUAUAGGUCGCUAUAGGAACCAGGGUUAAUAUGGGUUGGCUAUGGGAACCAGGGUUAAUAUGGGUUUCUAUGGGAACCAGGGUUAAUAUGGGUUGGCUAUGGGAACCAGGGUUAAUAUGGGUUGCUAUAGGAACCAGGGUUAAUAUGUGUUGGCUAUGGGAACCAGAGUUAAUAUGGGUUUCUACACUCCAGUACAGUAGGUAUCAUAAAGUUGGUUGGACAGGUGUGAACACUCCAGUACAGUAGGUAUCAUAACGUUGGUUGGACAGGUGGGGACUCUCCAGUACAGUAGGUAUCAUAACGUUGGUUGGACAGGUGGGGACACUCCAGUACAGUAGGUAUCAUAACGUUGGUUGGACAGGUGGGGACACUCCAGUACAGUAGGUAUCAUAACGUUGGUUGGACAGGUGGGGACACUCCAGUACAGUAGGUAUCAUAACGUUGGUUGGACAGGUGGGAAGUGGGGACACUCCAGUACAGUAGGUCGGAUGCCAAUAAACCCCACAGAAGAAGAGGCGAUGGAGACAACGGUUGACAGUGUCCUUCGCUCUUCCUGUUCAGGCACUGUUUUCCCUGCAGUUCUGUUAACAAGGGCAGGU
ensembl:lncRNA